rnacentral:rRNA from 1 species
UACGGAGGAAGAGAUCGUUGUUCGGAAUUAUUGGGCGUAAAGAGCGUGUAGGCGGCCUUGUAAGUCAGAUGUGAAAGCCCUUGGCUUAACCAAGGAAGUGCAUUUGAAACUGCUUGGCUUGAGUACGGGAGGGGAAAGCGGAAUUCCCGGUGUAGAGGUGAAAUUCGUAGAUAUCGGGAGGAACACCGGUGGCGAAGGCGGCUUUCUGGACCGAUACUGACGCUGAGAAGGGAAAGCGUGGGGAGCAAACAGG